GACGUAGGAUGCAAGCGUUGUCCGGAUUUAUUGGGCGUAAAGAGUUCGUAGGUGGUUUGUUAAGUCUGAUGUUAAAAGACUGGGGGCUCAACCUCGGAAAUGCAUUGGAUACUGGCAGACUCGAGUGUGGUAGAGGCAAUCGGAAUUCCAGGUGUAGCGGUGAAAUGCGUAGAUAUCUGGAAGAACACCGGUGGCGCAAGCGGAUUGCUGGGCCAUAACUGACGCUGGAGGAACGAAAGCUAGGGGAGCAAAUGGG
rnacentral:rRNA from 1 species